GAGGAGGGUUCAUGUGAUGCUAUGACUAUGACGUGAACAAAGAGUAGACAUCAUUUCACCAACUGUUAGGAUGGAGGACACAUCUCUACUGCAGCUACUCUUUCUGACCUCACUGCUGAGCAGCACAACAAACCAAGCCUCUCUGACUGUGAGUCCCAGCAGCUCUCAGAUGUUUG